CUUGGGCAACCUGCCUGUAAGACUGGGAUAACUUCGGGAAACCGGAGCUAAUACCGGAUAAUCCUUUUCCUCUCAUGAGGAAAAGCUGAAAGUCGGUUUACGCUGACACUUACAGAUGGGCCCGCGGCGCAUUAGCUAGUUGGUGAGGUAACGGCUCACCAAGGCGACGAUGCGUAGCCGACCUGAGAGGGUGAUCGGCCACACUGGGACUGAAACACGGCCCAGACUCCUACGGGAGGCAGCAGUAGGGAAUCUUCCGCAAUGGACGAAAGUCUGACGGAGCAA
rnacentral:rRNA from 1 species